ACGUAGGUGGCAAGCGUUAUCCGGAUUUAUUGGGCGUAAAGGGAACGCAGGCGGUCUUUUAAGUCUGAUGUGAAAGCCUUCGGCUUAACCGGAGUAGUGCAUUGGAAACUGGGAGACUUGAGUGCAGAAGAGGAGAGUGGAACUCCAUGUGUAGCGGUGAAAUGCGUAGAUAUAUGGAAGAACACCAGUGGCGAAAGCGGCUCUCUGGUCUGUAACUGACGCUGAGGUUCGAAAGCGUGGGUAGCAAACAGGAUUAGAUACCCUGGUAGUCCACGCCGUAAACGAUGAAUGCUAAGUGUUGGAGGGUUUCCGCCCUUCAGUGCUGCAGCUAACGCAAUAAGCAUUCCGCCUGGGGAGUACGACCGCAAGGUUG
rnacentral:rRNA from 1 species